rnacentral:rRNA from 1 species
UUUAAAGAGAGUUUGAUCCUGGCUCAGGACGAACGCUGGCGGCGUGCCUAAUACAUGCAAGUCGAACGAACGGAGGAAGAGCUUGCUCUUCCAAAGUUAGUGGCGGACGGGUGAGUAACACGUGGGCAACCUGCCUGUAAGUUGGGGAUAACUCCGGGAAACCGGGGCUAAUACCGAAUGAUAAAGUGUGGCGCAUGCCACGCUUUUGAAAGAUGGUUUCGGCUAUCGCUUACAGAUGGGCCCGCGGUGCAUUAGCUAGUUGGUA